rnacentral:lncRNA from 1 species
AAGGGUGAAAAGGGGAAAACUGCAUAGAAAGACUGGAGAACCUCCCCCUCCGGAUAAAUAACGCCCCGUGUUGUUAAGGACGCCACCUUCUUUGUUGCUCAUGUCGUCACAGCCUACGGUGAGACGAGCGGAGACUGAAGGACCUGGAGCAAGAGGAGUGCGCGAGGUACAGGCCGAGGGAACCUGGGAAAACAGCCUGCAGAAAAACGCUUUGCAGCCGGGCCGACUACAACGCAGUGGCCGGAAGUCUCCUCUCACGUACUUCCGGCCUGCGUCCGGAGGGGAGGGGAGGCCGUCGCCGCUGGCUCCGCCCACCGCGUGGUCCAAGGACCACCACCCGCCACCGCCGCGCGAGCGUACUAUUGCGGCCGCCCUCUGCUGCGCCUGAAGAGAGAGGCGACUCUACAAGCCUCACAGCAUGCACUGUUACUAAAAAGACGAUGCGUCCUCCUGGACCUGAGAUCUGUGUGAUCGUGGGAAAGCGACGAAAAACGAACAAAGGAACAGUAAAUGGAGUAACUUGGCUAGAAUAUGGCAGUAACUACAAGGCAUGUUCUGCUCUGGCACGAAGAUGCAGUCUCGCUCUGUCACCCAGGCUGGAGUGCAAUGGCACGAUCUUGGCUCACUGCAACCUCUGCCUCCCAGGUUCAAGCGAUUCUUCUGCCUCAGCCUCCUGAGUAGCUGGGAUUACAGACAACCCACCUGAGGCACCAGACACAUGAGUGAAGCCAUCUUGGACAUCCCAGUCACAGCCAAACUCACUCCUGAGUGCAUCUGCAUGAUGAACCCAGCAAUCCCCACCAUGGAGCAAAGGAUCCAUCCAGUCAACCCAAAGAAUCGUGAAAAAUAAUAAAUUGUUGUUUUAAAGUUCUUCAGUUUGGGAAUAGCUUGUUAUGCAACAAUACAUAAUUAAUACACUGGUCUCCCACUUUCAAGUUUGAUUAACUUUCAGCUAUUUUUCACAUAGCAGGCAGAGUGAUUCCAUUAAAACAUAUAUCAGAUAAUGUCACUGCACUAAGUAAACUCUACAAGGACUCUCAUCUCCCUCAGAGUAAAGGUCACAGUUGUUACAAGGCCCUACGUAAUGUGGCCCUCACCACCACUCCAUUACCUUUUUCUUAUCUACUAUUUGCUAACUUUGCUUUGUCCUCUUUUCUGUUCUGAAACAGGCUAGGCAUGGUCCUGCCUCAAGGCCUUUGCACCACCUACUCUGUCUGCUUGGAUUGUUCUUCCCACAGAUUUCUUGCUCCCUUCUUCCUUCAUGAAGAAAUGUCAUGAAAUGUCCUUCCUUCAUGAAAUGUCACCUUCUCAUUUGAGGCCUUCUGUAGUACCCCAAAGAAUGGUCCCCAAAGAUGUCCACAUCCUUAUGCCCAGAACCUGUGAAUGUGUUAUCUUAAUGGCAAAAGUGACUUUGCAAAUGUGAUUAUAUUUAAGGAUCUUAAGGAGGAGAUUAUCCUGGAUUAUCCAGGAGGGCCCAAUGUAAUCACAAGGGCCCUUAUAAGUGAAAGGGGGAGGCAACAGAGAGAAGGAGAUGUCAUAAUGAAAACAGAUCCAAGUGAUGAGAUUGCUGGCUGGGGUGGAGGUGGAGGGGGGUACAAUCCAAGGAAUGCAAGAAGCCUCUAAAAGCUAGGAAAUGUCAGGACACAAAUUCUCCCCUAGAACCUGAGGAAGAAACCCAGGUUUAUGGACACUGAUUUUAACCCAAUAAGUCCCUUUUCUGACUGCUGACCUCCAAAACUGUAAGAUAAUAAAUUUGUGUUAUUUUAAGCCAACUGAGUUUGAGAUAAUUUAGUUAUGGCAGCAAUAGGAAACUAGCACACCUUCCUAGCCAUCCUAUCUAAAAUGGCAACCCAUGUCCUUCCUGGCACUUCCUAUCUCCCUUCCAUGUUUUUUUUAAAUCAUAUAUACAAUAUAUUUUACUGUUUUACCUAUUGUCUUUUCCACCAGAAAGUAAACUCCACGUAAAUAAGGAUUGUCUGUUUUAUUCUUUGCAGUAUCUCCACUGCCUAGGAUAGCAUCUGCACAUACUGCACACUCAGUACACAUUUGUCGAAUGAGGUCAGGCGCGGUGGUUCACACCUGUAAUCCCAGCACUUUGGGAGGCCAAGGCGGGUGGAUCACCUUAGGUUAGGAGUUCGAGACCAGCCUGGCCAACAUGGUGAAACCAUGUCUCUACUAAAAAUACAAAAAGUAGUUGGGCAUGGUGGCAUGUGCCUGUAAUCCCAGCUACUUGGGAGGCUGUGGCAGGAGAGUCACUUGAAUCUGGGAGGUGGAGGUUGCAGUGAGCCAAGAUUGUGCCACUCCACUCCAGCCUGGGCAACAGAGUAAGACUCUGGCUCAAAAAAAAAAAAAAAGAAAGAAAGAAAAAAAUACAUAUUUGUUGAAUGAACAAGUGAAUGAACAAAUGUUAUGCAAAUAUAUUAUCCCUAUCUGUAGCUUGCCUUUUAAUUUUGUUAUAGUAACUUUGGUUGAAAGGAAGUUCUAAAAUCUUUAAUAUAAUCAAAUGUAUCAAUCUUUUCAACUUGUAUAUUUUAUGCCUUGUUUAAUCAACUCUGUCUUAUAUCAAAAUUAUAAAAGUAUUACCCUGUAUUUUCUUAUAAAAGUUUUGAAUCUUUUCUUUUUCCACUUAGAUCAUUAAUCAACUUGGAAUUGGUGUUACAUAGUGGUAAAUGAUUGUCCCAGGACCACAUAUUGAAUAUUUUAUCAUUUCUCCACUGAUUUGUAACAACACAGUGGUUAUAUAUCCUGUUUAUACAUGGGUCUGUCUCUAGGUUUCCGGUUCUGUUCCAGUGGUCU